rnacentral:misc_RNA from 1 species
AUGUGUCAAUCUUGUCAAAUGAAUACAGAAAGAUAUCAAUAUCAAUACUGAAAUGAAAACUGAAAAUACUGAUAUGAAGUAUCUCAUAAAGUCAUAAAGUAAACUUUUUAUAACUUUUUGAUUUAUUUUUAGCGUUUCCAAUUAUUGAGUUAUAUUACUCUCUAGUUCUUUUGUCGAUGAGAGCCCCAAUUACUAUCUAGGUAAAUAAUUACAAACCAUGGAGUUGUCUCACAGUUUGACGUUGAAUGAAGAAGCUUUAUCUCAAAUAAGUGAGGCAAAGAGGCCAGUAUUCAUAUUUGAAUGGCUCAGAUUUUUAGAUAAAGUACUCAUAGCUGCCCAAAAAAAUGACAUCAAAGGUUGCCAAAAACAGUUGGUUCAGCAAUUAAUGAAUCAUAUCCAAGAAUCUCCAGGCCCUCCAACUCGAAAACUCAUAUCUAGAUGCCUCGCAACAUUAUUUUCAGUUGGUGACACUUUCCUGCUUUUUGAUACAGUGAAUAAAUGUAAUGAUAUCUUGAAAAAUAAGGAUGAUUCACCAAGCUUCCUACCAACAAGACUUGCUGCAAUAUGCUGUGUUGGUACCAUGUAUGAGAAGUUGGGAAGGAUGAUGGGAAGAUCAUAUGAGGAAACGGUUCACAUCCUAAUACGUUCCCUGAGAAAUGCAGAAUCUCAAACGAGAAUUGAAAUCAUGCUAACACUAGAAAAAGUAUGUGCAGGAAUGGGUAACGCUAUUUCGAAUGUUCACAAAGACAUAUACAAAGCUGCAAGGCAUUGCCUGAUUGAUAGAGUUAUGGCUGUGAGAUGUGCCGCAACAAGAUGUCUUCUAGAAAUGCUCAAUCAUGCACCAUUUUUGUACACAACAGAAUUGGAGAGCUUGGCUACCCUUUGCUUCCGAGCUUUCGAUGGUUCAAAUUACGUAGUUCGCUGCACUGUUGCUAAACUGUUAGGAACACUGAUCGCAAUGACGCAGCAACAAAAUCAGGGUAAUAGUAAAAUCGUUCAGCAACAACAACAACACAAAGGCCCAAAAUUGGUAUCCCUUGAUGAGGCAUUAGGGGUGUUUAUGUCCGGAUUUUUGAGAGGCGGUGUUGGAUUUUUGAAAGGAACUGGCGAAAUAAUAAAGGGUAGUUCAGGAGUAAACCGUGAAGUCAGAGUUGGGGUAACACAUGGAUACGUUAUAUUUGUCCAAAUAUUGGGCAGUAAAUGGUUGGAGAAAAACAUGAAAACUUUCCUCAGUCAUAUUCUGUACUUGGCUGCAAAUCCAAAGGCGGCAUCUUCCCAUGUAGACGCUGUAUAUUCAAGGAAAUGUAUCAAUUUCAUAUUGAGAAGCGUACUCGGAAAAAUGUUAGGAGAGAAAGCUCAAACUUCAGCAUGCAAAGAAAUUGCACAGAUAGUAGUGAAAGAAAUGAAUUCCAUUGACUUUAAUCCAGAAAAUGCCAAGGACGCCAAUCAAGAAACACUUUUCAGCCAACAUUUGCUCGUUUGCGCACUUCAAGAAAUCGGGUCGCUGGUUUUGAGUUUAGGAACAACAGCUCAUGACUUGAUUACAGACCAGUCUCUAAAUCUGAUAGAUGUAACAAUGAGCGUGUUGAUUCAUCCCUGCCAAGCGGCUAGACUAGCGGCAGCUUGGUGCUUACGUUGCAUAUGUAUAGCAGUGCCUAGUCAAAUUUCUCCUCUUAUCGAUCGAUGUGUGAAUGGAAUAGAACAGUUCAGAACCUCUCCAGAAGCCAUAUCUGGUUACAGUUCUGCACUGGCUGCUGUUCUAGGAGGCGUGAAGUUAUCCCCUCUCGGUGUUCCUCACAUGAAGGGAAAAAUAAUAUUUAACACUGCCGAAGAACUUCUGAGGAGUGCCAGUCAGAACAGCAGAUUGUCUUUGAACAGGACACAUGCUGGGUGGUUGCUUAUAGGAGCUAUAAUGACUCUGGGUAUUCCAGUGGUGAAGGGUUUAUUACCCAGAAUGUUGUUACUCUGGAGGAAUUCCUUUCCUAGAUCGGCGAAGGAGUUGGAGUCUGAAAAAGCACGUGGUGAUGUGUUCACAUGGCAAGUUACUCUCGAAGGAAGAGCUGGAGCUCUAUCAGCCAUGCAUAGCUUUCUGCAAAAUUGUUCGGAACUUGUGAAUGAAGAUACCACUAGAAGAUUGCUCACUCCAAUUGAAUCGGCCCUGGCCAUGCUAACUAAUAUAUCUGGGAUCCUCAAAACUUAUGGUCAACACCUGAAGGCUCCUGCAGCGAUGGUACGUCUAAGACUAUGUGAAACGCUUUUGCUUCUCCAUCCACAGUGUUAUGAAAAUUCCUACACCCAUUUGCUAAGAAUGUUGGUCGCUGAAUUCACUUUGACAGAGAAUCCAGCAAAUACUACCACUUCUCAACUUCGCACUGUAUGCCAUGCUGAUGAUUCUGUUAUUUUAGGAACUUGGCUUCAAGAAACUGAUCAAAGAACUAUUGAAGAUCAGAUGGAGCCUAAUCGAAGAGGGGAUGGUGAACAUCUUCAACCUAAUAGUGCUGCAGGUUCUGGAGCUUUGGAACACGACCCAUGUUGUCUUUAUCGACAAGUCAAUCAGCAUGAAACAAUACCAGGUCCUCUUCCAUUAGGAGUAACGGUCAUCGAUAUCUCCGUACUUCUGUUUGGCCAGAUCUUCCCUAGAGUUACGAACAAGCACCGUGUACAAAUGCUCGACCACUUUGCUGAAUGUAUAAAACAUGUACGUAGUACCAGGCAAGAGGCGGUUCAAAUUAACGUAUUCACUGCUCUGCUGAGCGGUUUGAAAGGACUGACUGAGACAAAAGUGAACUUGAAUCAAGAAGAUGUGAAGAAAUCAGCCGUUAGCCUAAUUAUAGCAGCGCUUACUUCUCCCAAUCCAAUCCUGCGGUAUGCUGCAGGAGAGGCCGUGGGCCGAAUAGCCCAGGUUGUUUCUGAUCCGAAAUUCACUGCUGAACUGGCACAGACAAGCUUCGACAGACUGAAAUCAGCCAGGGAUGUGGCAAGCAGAACUGGCCACUCAUUGGCUCUGGGCUGUUUACACAAGUAUGUAGGUGGGAUGGGAUCCAGUCAGCAUUUGAAUACAAGCGUGUCCAUAUUGUUAGCUCUUGCGCAAGAUCAGACUUCACCGAUCGUUCAAGUUUGGUCAUUGCAUGCCCUAUCGUUGAUAGUAGAUUCCGGCGGUCCUAUGUUUAGAGGUUACGUGGAACCCAGCCUGUCACUAGCUCUCAAGCUCCUUUUGAAUGUUCCACAGUCGUACAUGGAUGUUCACCAGUGUAUUGGAAAAGUUUUAUCAGCUCUUAUCACGACUAUAGGGCCGGAACUGCAGGGAAAUACCUCUACUAUAUGUACUGCCAGGUCUUCAUUUUUGUGUGCUUGUGCUAUCAUGCAAGACCAUCACGAUCCGUUAGUUCAAGCUGAGGCAACUGGGUGUUUGCAGCAACUUCAUCUGUUCGCACCGAAGCACGUCAAUCUGUCUUCACUUGUACCAACACUUUGUAGAACAUUGUCCAGUAAUCAUCUUCUGCUUAGGAAAGCAGCCAUAUCUUGUUUACGACAGUUAGUACAAAGAGAGGCUAAAGAAGUUUGUGAGCAUGCAAUGAACUUGGCAAGCGAAAGUCGCGAGCACAACAAUGUAGAAGGUUUAACAAUAACAGAAACCGGAUUGCCAGGUGUCUUCUUCAGUAUGCUGGACACUGAAACUGAUACGGGCCUGAUAAAAGAUAUUCACGAUACUAUUAUCAGCAUGCUGCAAGUGCUUGCUGCUGAUAACUUGUCGCAGUGGUUGGGAUUGUGCAAAGACGUUCUAACGGUCGCUACAGAAACAAGUGCUGAAGAUCGUUCGGGAGGAGCAGGCCAUGAAGGUGAAGAAGUUAAUGGUGAAACAGAUGACGAUCAAGCUGAGUUUCAUGCAGAAGAAGACUCUUCCCACCCUGCUGUUCAACCAAGAUGGCCUACAAGGGUGUUUGCAGCAGAAUGUGUUAGAAAAAUUAUAUCAGCUUGUGAAACUAAUAAUAAAGUGGCUCACUUUGAUUUGAUUCGAGCAAAGGAACUGCAGAUGACGAAGGGAAAAAGCGACUUUUUGACUCUGCAUUUGUCUGACCUGAUCAGAAUGGCAUUCAUAGCAGCGACAAGUGAUUCGGAUCCGUUGAGAUUGGAAGGGUUGAAAACCCUUCAAGAUAUAAUUGAAAAAUUUGCCAAAGUUCCUGAACCAGAGUUUCCGGGACACCUGCUUCUUGAACAGUUUCAGGCUCAAGUUGGGGCUGCCUUGAGGCCAGCUUUUUCACCAGACACUUCUUCGUUGGUUACAGCUGCUGCUUGUGAAGUUUGUUCCACUUGGAUUGGGUCUAAUGUGGCCAGAGAUCUCAAUGACUUGAGACGGGUACAUCAAUUGCUUGUGUCUUCUUUGACUAAACUCAGAAAUAAAAAUAACAUCAGCCAACUGUACAAUGAAAGCUUAGUGACAUUGGAGAAACUGUCGAUUUUGAAGGCUUGGGCGGAAGUAUAUAUUGUUGCUAUGAAAGGAAAUGAUACUUCUCAGAGCGUAGAUUUGACGACUACUGCCAGUGACAUUGAUAACAAUGAAUUUACGGAGUUUGAAUGCCGAGGAGAGAGUUUGUUGACUCUAGUACAGCCGGAAUUGGUGUCUUUGUCUCAGUAUUGGCAAUUGGCAUUGAAAGAUCACGCCUUGCUGUCAUUACCUGGGGAAUUCUCCAGUCAAUUACCACAUGACGGAGGAGCAUUCUACACAAAUGAAACAAUUGACUCCUCAAGACCCCAUUAUGCUUCGUCUUGGCCUCCAAUUCUUUAUGCUGCCGCCCUUUGGUUGAAGUCAGGAAGUUUCGAAAGGAACACUGAUAAUGACAACAAUGAAAUCAUCAACAAUAAUAGGACUAAUGACAAUCCUUCUGACAGGUUCCAUCUUCUCUUUGGUAUUUGUAUGGAAGCACUUUGUAGUCCACGUUCUACCGAACCGUUAGAGAGUGUUAUCACGUGCCUCAACGCUUUAUACACAUUGCUUGACACGUCAUAUACACGGGGAGUUCUGAUGUCUGAUAGUUCACUAGGAAUUGAAAUGUGCAACGUUCUCCAUCGGCUCAUACUGACUAGGGAUAACCACACUUGUCAGCUGUUAUGUCUGGAGGUAUUGAAACAAAUGGUAAAAGCUGCCCAGGAGCAUCUUGACAAACAGAAGGAAAAUAAAUUGAACGAAGGCGAAAGUGCAACUUUGGUCGAUACGUUGGGUGAAGGUGGAGAAAUUGGCGAACUAAUUCCUGGGAAGUCUCUCGUCAUUUCCAUUUUGGAAGUGUGCCUUUGCCUUAUAAUACGUCAAUUGCCAACAUUGAGUCCCUUGCCAAAUACGACGAUUGUCAAUUCCUUGCGAGUAAUGCAAUCUAGCCAGCAAUCAAGUCAGUUACUAGCAGCUUCCAUAACCUGCAUGGAAGCCCUGCACAGGUUGUGUUCUCCAAAAGGUGCAGUUUCAAUCUUGCCAACUAUUUUAUAUUUAACUACAGGAGUGAUCAGAGAAGUGACCACAAAAAAUAUCAACGAUGUCAAUGUUUUGGCGAAUAAUCCGUCAGUGCAGGCAGCUUUACACUGCUUGAAAGUUCUUGCUACGGAUCGAUACUGUAGACAUCCAGAUAGCUGUGAUAAUUGGCAAAAGUUAUUACAGAGUUCUCUUGCCAAAAUAAUCGAUCUUGCCAAAACUCGAAAUGACGAAAGCAAAUUAGACGAGGUCACUAUGAUGCUGGCCAUUGCCGUUUUUGUUUUGAACGCACCUGCUGAAGUUGUCAUUGUUCCUAACCUACAGUAUCCUUGCAUCAAUCAUUUCAGGCAGUGCUUGGAGAAUUCAAAUUCAUUGGUACGCCUGAAAUGUGUUAGGACUCUGAAAUCCCUGUUUGCGCAUCCAGACCGUUCUAUUUCUACUCCUUAUAUCCACACGUUAGCUCCUCAGCUUGUGGAGUUUUUGUAUUCAGAUGCAGCCAAAAAACCCUUCUCAGACGGAGAACUUUUAGUUACCGUGGAAACAAUUACGGCAGUAGAAUCCCUCAUAGAACUUGCUGAACCUGACAAAUGUAUACAAAUGCUUACAUUAUUGGUGCCAGUUUUGGUGAGCUACUUGUCGACAGAUCCACAUUCUCCAUAUGCCAAUAAGUAUGUACAAGCGUUACAUGAAGUUAGUUUACAAUGGCUGAUGAAAAUAGGGCCUAAAUAUCCACAGGAAUUCAAGAGGCUGAUGAUGCAGUCCGAUGUACUAAGAGUGAAAUUAGAAAAUGCAAUAAGAAGUAGCCAAGUUAAUCAAUGCAAAAUCAAGAAUGAUGUUAAUAUAAAUCAACAGUUACCUAGUCAUACCCCAACAAUUAAGUUGAAAACCGAUUUCAGUAAUUUUUCCUAAGACUAGAUAUUUUAGUGUCUUAUAUGUAUAGAAAGUCAAUAACUUAUUAGCCUAGAUCGUAAAUUAGACUAUUAUUUCUCUAGAAACUUGACAUUUCAAUCGAAAAGUUAUUAUUUUUUCCGACUGAUAUUAUGAAAAUUAUUGUAAUUUUAUACUAAGACAGCAAAAGAUAUAUUGCUUGGCUUCUUAAUGGGACCUAUAAAUUAUUCGAAAGAGAAAUACCAUAUUUCAAAUACUAUUUGAAGUGUGAACAAUGCGGCGUAGAUUAAUCAUUUUUAUUUCCUAUUCUCUGAUGAAAUUUCAUGAACACACCUUCCACUAUAUGGAUUCUCCAAUCAGAAAAAAAAGAAAAAUUCACUUGUCCCUAGCACAGGUAUAAAUAAGGCAAUGGGCAUUUAAUUUGAAAUUUAAACGAUCAGUACAGAAUAUUAUAUAUGUUAUUUAAAUGAAAUAAAAUAAUGAAACUCAUUUUAAAAUUUAAUAUAAAGAAAUCGUCGAUGUCAGGGGUUGGUGAAAUUUCAAUAUUGAAUAAAAAAAGUUUCAUGAAUAAAAUUGUUGAAAUUUGUUUUUUCAUUAAUUAGCUAGCUCUCGCCCCCUUCAAACGACAACCCUCUCAAGUCUAAGCUUGUUCAAGCUAAGGAAUGAUAUCUAUAUAGAGAUUUUACUGAAACGUGUAUGUUGUACCUGUCAUGAUGAAUAUUGAUAAACAACUAUAAUGAUUUUUCUCCAAUGUGUAUUUAUAAUUUAUUCAUAUAAUACGUGUGGAUUAAGGAAUUAGUAUAGGGUUGAAAUGUUCAUAAAAUUUUUUAAUACGCCGCAUUUUGUUCAUUCCUAUAAUAGUUUAUGUGAGGUAGAUCGAGAUUUAUAAGAAUCAUUCUUAGACACGUUCAAGAACUCGAAUGUUUUUAUACCAAUUUUAUAUGUAUUGCAGUGUAUUUGCCCUUUACUUGCUAAUCUUAGUGAUUUUUCAUUGCUUUUUUAGUUACCUAACAAAUGUAUCAAAUAUUUUUUCAUGUUACCUAAUUUUUUAUUAAAGAUGAAAAUAAGCAAAAAAGUAAGUUGAGAAAUUAUAAUUUCAGUAAUAGUAAAAAACAAGAGUGAGUAACAUUUCUCAGAAUGAACUGGUCCUCUGUAUUUUCUUCCAUUUUCUGAAAAAUCACUUCUUGCUCAGAAAAAAAUUAUUAUUCAAAAUAAACUAGGUGUGUGUGCAUUUCACAUAUAAUUUCUACAACUACUAUCAUGAUCAUAAGCAAUGUUUUACAUAAAAAGAUGAAAGUUUGGAGUUGAUGAUUAACAAAAGACCAUUGACUAAUUAAUAAACGAUUUCAUUACGUUAUGCUUAGAUUCAUUAUUUCUAAUUCUUUUUGUAAUAUUUUUUUCUUCUCUAGUAAAACCUAUACAUCCUGA